AUGCUCACUUUGGCAGCACAUACACCACAGCUGGAAUGAUAGAAGUUUAGCAUGGCCCCAUGCACAAGAAUGACAUGCAAAUUCAUGAAGCAUUCCAUGUUUUU